rnacentral:rRNA from 1 species
AUGGUUUCAGGCGAAGGACUGGCCGAAGGCCGCGAGAUCCGUCUCAGCGCGCUCGUGUUCGUCGCCGACGACUCCGCUUGGCUUCAGGAGGCUCCACUCGACGUCGAGGCGCUCCUCGUCCGUGGGGCAACGCACUUUCGCGCGUGCGUCCGCGGCGUCCUUCUGCGGCAGCCGUCGACCCAGUAUCGGUCGGCUUCCGUGGCAUCUUCAUCCCCUGCUGCUCGUCGGCGUAAGUGUUCUGGUCGGUCGCGGCUCCAGCGGUGGGUGAGGCACGCAGUGGCUCGCCAGUCGGCACACCACAAGUCGCGGCAAUCGAGCCCGACGAAACUCUCUAUGGCCUGUUCGACUGGCUCCGUCGAGCCUGCAUCCGAGUGCGACAGCAGUGACCCUGCGGCAGAAGUCUUGAUGGUCAACGGACCAUGCAGUCCACCUGGCUUCCCCCGCGACGACAGUGGUGAUGGUGAAGGCGACCCGUCGCGUGUCCACGAGGAGUACCGCCCCGAGCCCCUCUCUUCACAGCAGAGGGAAGAGCUUCGCCGCCGUAACAUGGAUGCACUUCACACUCCUAUCGUUGGAGAAACCCCCAAGGCCCGGGCCUUGGAGGAGGUGCGCCUGGACAACUUGGCCGAGCGCACUCGACUGGAGAACCUCCAGCACGCACUCGACGAGCGUGCUCGGCAGCGGGUUCCAGAGUCCAGUCGACGACAACUUUUUCUGCCUCCAACCCAGGUAUAUCGAACUCUGAUCCAGAAUCUCACAGCUGCAGCCCGAAUAGCAGAGUCGAUCCAGCCUUCCCAGUCGGAAGCUGGUAGAGGUUUGAUGCAGAUCCGGGCUUUGCUUCGGGUGGCGGGGGAGCAGAACACAGCAGUGUCACAGUCUCGGAAUAGGAUUCAUAGUAGAUCUGUAAGGGCAGACACAGUUCAGUCGGCUCAUAGCCCAAGAUCGCCUCCAAGGCGUGAGGGACGUGGAGAUCGACAGGAUCAGUACAUAAACCGUGGGCAGUAUGAUCACCGACUCGACCGGGAUGAUCAUCGUCGAGUGCCCAUGCCUCCCCCAAGGAGUGGGUCAUGCGCACCUCGGCAACAUGAUGACAGACGCCCUCAUAGUGGUGGGCGAAGGAUUCCAAUCGACCCCUGGGAGCUGGGCUUUGACACGAGAUCUAUUCUCGUUCAAGGUCUGGUUGACAGGAACAGGGCACACAGAGAUGGCCACUAUAGAGAUUAUCCGACCGGCAACAGAGUGCAUGUUUCAGGUCCCGAGUGUUUCAGCAGAGACAUUAGAGCAGCAGUGAUUCCUCCCAACUUCAGGUUGCCGACUAGAGUCAGCAAAUUCACUGGUGAGUCCAAGCCUGACACUUGGCUUGAGGACUACCGAGUGGUUGUGCAGAUUGGUGGUGGCAAUGAUGAAGUGGCCAUGAAGCACCUUCCUCUGAUGUUGGAGGGCUCGGCCAGAGCGUGGUUGAAUCAGUUAGCACCUGGCAGUAUUUAUAGUUGGGAAGAGCUUGCCCGAGUGUUUGUUAGAACAUUUGAAGGUACGUGCAAACGGUCAGUAGGGCUAACAGAGCUGCAAUCUUGUGUGCAGAAGCCGAAUGAAACUUUGAGGGAUUAUAUCUAG